AUACGGGGGGUGCGAGCGUUAUCCGGAUUUAUUAGGUUUAAAGGGUGUGUAGGCGGGAGCCUAAGUCAGUGGUGAAAUCUCGGGGCUCAACCUCGAAACUGCCAUUGAUACUGAAGAACUCGAGUAUAGUUGAGGUAGGCGGAAUUUAUAAUGUAGCGGUGAAAUGCAUAGAUAUUAUAAAGAACACCAAUUGCGAAGGCAGCUUACUAAACUAUAACUGACGCUGAGGGACGAAAGCGUGGGGAGCGAACAGGAUUAGAAACCCCAGUAGUCC
rnacentral:rRNA from 1 species